rnacentral:rRNA from 1 species
GACGAACGCUGGCGGCGUGCCUAAUACAUGCAAGUAGAACGCUGAAGGAGGAGCUUGCUUCUCCGGAUGAGUUGCGAACGGGUGAGUAACGCGUAGGUAACCUGCCUGGUAGUGGGGGAUAACUAUUGGAAACGAUAGCUAAUACCGCAUAAGAGUAGAUAUUGCAUGACAUUUGCUUAAAAGGUGCAAUUGCAUCACUACCAGAUGGACCUGCGUUGUAUUAGCUAGUUGGUGGGGUAACGGCUCACCAAGGCGACGAUACAUAGCCGACCUGAGAGGGUGAUCGGCCACACUGGGACUGAGACACGGCCCAGACUCCUACGGGAGGCAGCAGUAGGGAAUCUUCGGCAAUGGACGGAAGUCUGACCGAGCAACGCCGCGUGAGUGAAGAAGGUUUUCGGAUCGUAAAGCUCUGUUGUAAGAGAAGAACGAGUGUGAGAGUGGAAAGUUCACACUGUGACGGUAUCUUACCAGAAAGGGACGGCUAACUACGUGCCAGCAGCCGCGGUAAUACGUAGGUCCCGAGCGUUGUCCGGAUUUAUUGGGCGUAAAGCGAGCGCAGGCGGUUAGACAAGUCUGAAGUUAAAGGCUGUGGCUUAACCAUAGUACGCUUUGGAAACUGUUUAACUUGAGUGCAAGAGGGGAGAGUGGAAUUCCAUGUGUAGCGGUGAAAUGCGUAGAUAUAUGGAGGAACACCGGUGGCGAAAGCGGCUCUCUGGCUUGUAACUGACGCUGAGGCUCGAAAGCGUGGGGAGCAAACAGG